rnacentral:rRNA from 1 species
UACGAAGGGGGCUAGCGUUGCUCGGAAUUACUGGGCGUAAAGGGCGCGUAGGCGGACAGUUUAGUCAGAGGUGAAAGCCCAGGGCUCAACCUUGGAACUGCCUUUGAUACUGACUGUCUUGAGUUCGGGAGAGGUGAGUGGAAUGCCGAGUGUAGAGGUGAAAUUCGUAGAUAUUCGCAAGAACACCAGUGGCGAAGGCGGCUCACUGGCCCGAUACUGACGCUGAGGCACGAAAGCGUGGGGAGCAAACAGG